CAGGCGAAAGGAACGUGCGCUCUCACAGUGUUUUCAAAAUGGCACGUCUAAAACGUGUGCUCACUUCACAGGGCAGGAGUCUGUAAUGCUUUGUCCGCUAUAUAUGGGCUAUUACGGUAAGGCAUGGCUUCCGCAAACAUAUGUUUUUCUUUUUUUCCACUCGGUCGUAUAGACUGAUGUUAUGUCGUUUAAGGGACACAUUUUAAUUGUAUGUUGUUAAGCUUUAUUGAAGAAAUGGGUCUGAUUCACUCUUUAUUAUAGAUCAGUGCUGUGGUACAGUUUACAUGAAUGUUGUUGAUUUUAGCUGCUAUCUACCUCUGUAGCACCAUGUAGCACCUAGAUGACCAAAAUGGCUCGUAGAAUUCUUGUACAGUGCAGGAUAACUUUUAACGACAGCUGUCGUCAAAUUUUUUCAAUGUUAAACCCGGACCUCGAUAUUAUGGAAGCCACAAUUAUAAGAUUGGAAACGGUGUUGCUCAGUUUACGCGGGAUACCAUUUGGGACUACUUCUUUGCAAGAACUCAUCGGCCUUCUCUCAGCAUUCAUUCAGGUCCUGCGAGACCAGGCCAGUAAUCAAGAACGUGUAAGUGGGUAUCAAGUACCAUUUAUUCAUGAUGGCAAAGGUCCCCCAUCCUAUGAUAUAACCAGGGCACAACUAGAACUUCUGGUGGGGUCUGGAUUUACUUCAAGGCAAAUUGCUGAAAUCCUUGGUGUGUCACAAUCCACUGUGAGACGGCGACUAAGAAUCUUUCAUCUCAACCGUUCAAGACGCUAUGCACAGAUUACGGAUCAGGAGCUUGACAGCAUGGUCAUUGAUGCUGUCGGUCAAAAUGAUCUAAUUGGACCUGAAUCUGUGAGGGCUCAGUUAAGCUCAGCAGAUGUGCUUGUACAGAGGAGGAGGGUGAGGGCGAGUAUGCUUCGAACCAAUCCAGAUGCAGCUGUUUUGAGAGCUACAUCACAAAGACUACAGCGCAGAACAUAUCGCGUAGCUGGCCCAAACUCUCUCUGGCACCUAGACGGUUAUCACAAGCUCAUAAGGUGGCGGAUUGUGAUUCAUGGAUCGAUUGAUGGCUACAGUCGGCUUGUGGUUUUCCUUGUUGCAUCCAACAACAAUCGCAGCAGUACAGUCCUGCAACAUUUCAGCACAGCAGUCACCCAGUAUGGUGUGCCAUCACAAGUGCGUUGUGAUUAUGGUGGUGAGAACGUUGAUGUUUGUCUCUUCAUGAAUGUCUUCCAUGGAAUGGGCACCAGGAGUGUUUUAAGAGGUCAGAGUACACACAAUCAAAGAAUCGAGAGGUUUUGGGGUGAUCUUUGGUCUGGCAUGAUCAAUGUGUACCAUAGCCUCUUUACAUUUCUGGAGUCUGAGGGGAUCCUUGAUCCUGCAAAUGAACUGCACAUGUGGGCUUUGCAGUAUGUGUAUCUCCCGAGAAUAAACAGGGAUCUCAGAAGUUUCCGCCGUCGUUGGAAUAAUCAUGGCCUGCGCACUGAGGGAUUUAGUACUCCAAUACAGCUGUUUGUCCGAGCAUGCCUGCGGUUGCAGAACAGGCCCUUAAGAGCCAUUCAGGAUGUAUUUGAAGGACCUGUCAAUGCCCCACAACUUCAGGGUGAUGUUCUACCACAGGGGCCAGAACCAGCAAUGGCACAAGAAAUGGACACACCUGAGCACCAUAAUGCCGAUCCUCUAUGGAGAGAGGACAUUAAUGUCCCUGAAAGUCUGUUCAAUCUAAAUGAAGAUGAUGUUCAUCAACUCCAAUGCUUGGUGGAUCCUCUGGGUGUCUCCAGGGAUGGCAUGGCUGUUGACCUUCUUCAAAUGACAAUUAUGUUCCUGCAGUCUGUGGUUCAUCCAUAGACUGUUAAUAUUAUAGCUUUGUGACAUUUUUUUUUAGUAGUUCUGGUUGCGAGAAUUCAGAAAUGAGACAAAUCCAAGACCUACAAGGAGGAGAAGGAGGAGGCCCAACCCCGCCGCGCGUACGAUAAGGGUACGCUUGGGAUUCAUUGAAGAGGGGACAAAUCGUCAAGUUGCUCGAGAGAGCCAGGGUAUUGUAAAUCUGUAUGUGCCUUUGGACCAGACAGAGGAGGAGUUUGUCAGUGAAAUAAGGCGUGUUUUCCCAAUGCUUGGUGAUAGAACAUUCGAGCUUUGUCGGAUGGAUGCCCAUCAUAACAUCAUCAUCCUGAAUUUGCAUGGCAUCACACCACGUGACAUAAAAGAGUGCCUUGAAUUGAAUAGGUCUGCGGUUUACGUCAGAAUCAAGGCUGAGGACCAACCUACUUUUACUGUGCACAACCAGGCACCCUUACCUGUAACGCCAAAUUCCACUCCCUUUACCAGACAAAGACAGUCAGACUCUCUGUUACCUGACAACAGCCAUGUGCCCCCCACAGAAGAAAGACCAGUGUACCUGUCACCAGGAAGGAUACCCUUAAGCACUGCACAGCAAACUAGAA